rnacentral:rRNA from 1 species
UACGAAGGGGGGCGAGCGUUGUUCGGAAUUACUGGGCGUAAAGGGCGCGUAGGCGGCCGAUCAAGUCAGAUGUGAAAGUCCUGGGCUUAACCUGGGGGACUGCAUUUGAUACUGAUUGACUUGAAUUCGGGAGAGGAUAGCGGAAUUCCCCAGUGUAGAGGUGAAAUUCGUAGAUAUUGGGAAGAACACCGGUGGCGAAGGCGGCUAUCUGGACCGACAUUGACGCUGAUGCGCGAAAGCGUGGGGGAGCAAACAGG